UAGCUAGUUGGUGAGGUAAAGGCUUACCAAGGCGACGAUCUGUAGCGGGUCUGAGAGGAUGAUCCGCCACACUGGAACUGAGACACGGUCCAGACUCCUACGGGAGGCAGCAGUGGGGAAUUUUGGACAAUGGGGGCAACCCUGAUCCAGCCAUGCCGCGUGAGUGAAGAAGGCCUUCGGGUUGUAAAGCUCUUUCGGCCGGGAAGAAAUCGCAUGGGCCAAUACCCUGUGUGGAUGACGGUACCGGAAUAAGAAGCACCGGCUAACUACGUGCCAGCAGCCGCGGUAAUACGUAGGGUGCGAGCGUUAAUCGGAAUUACUGGGCGUAAAGCGUGCGCAGGCGGUUUUGUAAGACAGGCGUGAAAUCCCCGGGCUUAACCUGGGAACUGCGUUUGUGACUGCAAGGCUAGAGUACGGCAGAGGGGGGUGGAAUUCCACGUGUAGCAGUGAAAUGCGUAGAGAUGUGGAGGAACACCAAUGGCGAAGGCAGCCCCCUGGGUCGAUACUGACGCUCAUGCACGAAAGCGUGGGUAGCAAACAGGAUUAGAUACCCUGGUAGUCCACGCCCUAAACUAUGUCAACUAGGUGUUGGGUGGGUAAAACCAUUUAGUACCGUAGCUAACGCGUGAAGUUGACCGCCUGGGGAGUACGGCCGCAAGGUUAAAACUCAAAGGAAUUGACGGGGACCCGCACAAGCGGUGGAUGAUGUGGAUUAAUUCGAUGCAACGCGAAAAACCUUACCUACCCUUGACAUGCCAGGGACUUGCCAGAGAUGGCUUGGUGCCCGAAAGGGAGCCUGGACACAGGUGCUGCAUGGCUGUCGUCAGCUCGUGUCGUGAGAUGUUGGGUUAAGUCCCGCAACGAGCGCAACCCUUGUCGUUAAUUGCCAUCAUUUAGUUGGGCACUUUAACGAGACUGCCGGUGACAAACCGGAGGAAGGUGGGGAUGACGUCAAGUCCUCAUGGCCCUUAUGGGUAGGGCUUCACACGUCAUACAAUGGUCGGUACAAAGGGUUGCCAAGCCGCGAGGCGGAGCCAAUCCCAGAAAGCCGAUCGUAGUCCGGAUUGCAGGCUGCAACUCGCCUGCAUGAAGUCGGAAUCGCUAGUAAUCGUGGAUCAGCAUGUCACGGUGAAUACGUUCCCGGGUCUUGUACACACCGCCCGUCACACCAUGGGAGCGGGUUCCGCCAGAAGUAGGUAGCCUAACCGCAAGGGGGGCGCUUACCACGGCGGGGUUCGAGACUGGGGUGAAGUCGUAACAAGGUAGCCGUAGGGGAACCUGCGGCUG
rnacentral:rRNA from 1 species